rnacentral:lncRNA from 1 species
AUCACCCCAUGAUCGAGGAUUACAGCCAAAAUUUAAGUUGCUCUGAAUCUCAGAUUUCCUAUGUGAAGUUUGGGCCACAGUGACUUCUACAGCAUCAUCUCCAGAUCUCUCUCCAACAUUAUAAUGUGUAGACCUUCAUUUUGCUCAACAUCCUUUUGCUAAAUGUCACGAGGCAAGGAUUUUUGCUAUAUCAUUAUUUAUUUAUUGCCUUGUACUAGUAAGCCAUAUAUGGCCAUGUUGCUGGGAAUUAAAGGAAGAGAGGAAAACAAGGCUGUGAAGACAUCUGUGUUGGUUGCAUCAAGGAACACGAAGGCAUUGCUUUCCUUGGAAAUAUCAAAUACAGCUGACCAUCAGUGAUGAGACUUUAGACUAUGGAAGUUAUUUGUUCAUGCCAAUACAUGACCUUUAAGAUAAAAGGCAUUCUUAUGACUGAUAUGCACCAUGCUUCAGAAAAAUCUGGCCUCUUGUUCCUGGUCAUCAGAGCUAAGCUGUAGAUGACAGUCCGAACCAAGAGUUGGAAAGCAAGAGUUUUGGGAUGAACCAUCAAUUAGGAGCAAAGAAUAACAACUGGUUGCCAAAACCAUGUUUAAAGAGCAAGACUGAAGUCUGUCACAGAGCAAGGCAGGCAUCUUAGGUGACAGAUUUGGGGAUAUCAUGAACGUGAAGGGGCAACAAAUUAUUAGUUAUUUAAUUUUAUAUUGUCAUAACUUUACUGCUGAAGAUGGGGGGAAUUUUUCACCCCCUUUGCCAAAUAAUACAGCAAAUAAUACAGCAAACACUCUUGACUGUCGCAUCUAUUUGGGCUGACAUUUGGCAAGAUGGAUCUAGACACACUAUCCUUACAAGUGAAGACCUAUCUCUUCUGUCAGGCCUGCCAAGACAGUUUUAAUGAUGAAUUUUAAACUUACACUCUAUGUCUAACUUUUGUUUUGUGCAUUUUAAUAUAUAUAUUGUGGAAUUAUAUUUUAAUAUGUGCAUUCUACAGAGUGUUUUUAAAUGAUUAUGUGUGUCAGUAAUGUUGUAACCCGCCUCAAGCUGUGAGGAGAGGCGGGUAAGAAAUAUAAUAAUAAUAAUAGUAAUAAUAAUAAUAAUAAUAAUAAUAAUAAUAAUAAUAAUAAUCUGUUGAUUCCUGUUUUUCUAUCCUUUUCAUUUCUAUCCUUAUCUGCUACUAAUACGUAUCCAAUUUUCCCUCUUCCCUCUUCCUCCCUCCCUCAUUUCAUAUGUGAAAUACUGGAGAGUAUGUACACAACUGUUUGGAUGAAGAGUGCCGUUUGCCUUAAAUAUCCCAGUUCCUCCUGAGAUUUGGCCCUAUUUGGAAGAGCCCUCAGAGAUCGACUAGAGUGAGCAAAAUCAGCCCAGGGCUUUAACUGAGAAUCUGCCACAAAUAAUUUAGAGGGUUGCCAUGCUGUGAAACUUUACACAGAUCCUGUGCAGUUCCUGAUAUAGCAUAUCACUAUGCCAAUACAGGCUGAGUAUCCCUUAUCAAGAAUUCCAAAAUCCGAAUUACUACGAAGUCUGAAAUGGUUCAUAUAGGUGAUUGAGAGAGUGACAUCUUUACUUUCUAGUGACUUUAUUUCUUGCACAAAAUUAUUUAAAAUGCUAUAUAAAAUUACCUUCAGAUUCUGCAUAUAAGAUGCAUGUGAAACAUAAAAUGAGUUUUUUUGUUUAAACUUGGAUCCCAUCUUCAAGAUAUUUUUCUAUACAUAUAUGCCAAUACAGGUAUUUCAAAAUCUAAACAAAAUCCAAAAUCCAAAUCACUUCCGAUCCAAAGCAUUUUUGAUAAAUGAUACUCAGCCUACACUGCAGUAGAUAUUAAGGACCUCAUCACAUGGAGGUCAAGAAACCGGGGGACAAUGGGGGAAACUGUAGGCCAGCAUAACACUGUGUUCCCUUACUAUUGAGAGAUCUCUUUCCACAACAUUUCCCCACUGUCCCCGGUUUCCUCCUGCUUCCUUCCUUGCUUCUUCUCUGGGAUCCACCUCUCUGCGCUGUCGGCACGCUACCAGCAUGGAGCCAAAUGGAGCACCAUUGGAAGUAGCCCUGCGUCACCUUACAGGCUCCGAGGAACUCGGAGCCGGCAGAGUGCCAGUAGCAUGGAGAAGUGCUGAGAAGACAUUUAUCAACCUCAAUGUGAUGCGUCCAUAAAACAGUGUUUCUGGUGGACUCAUACAACCAAUGCCCUUUUUUCAGAUUUCUGACUUCAACUAUUUUGUCACAUUUUAUCUCAUAACUGUUAGCAUGGGGCAAUCAGUUCUUUGAGCUCAAAGUCUCCAUUCCUUUAACAGGUUGAUGAGGCUAAAACCAAGAAGGUAGGAAACCAAAACAAAACUAUUAAAUAUUAAGGAAAUACGUUCAUUUCAGUAAGAAACAUUACAUUAUUUAAAGAAUGAAUGAUUGUUAUUGUGAAAUUUUUCCUCAAAAAAGCUGCCUAUAAGCAGGCCAUGCAAUUGUAAAUCUUGAGCGAUUAAUCAAUCAUUUGCAAGAACUUUGGCUAA